GAAAGGAGACCCGCAGCUAAUGGCUCGGCAGUGAUGCGCCAGGUGUGGGCCUCGCUCGAAUGGGGAGGAGAGUGUGAAAACAGAGAGACACACACACUGGGAAAGGGAGACACCCAGACACAGAGGAUGCAAAUGGAAUUCCGCACACAGAAAAGGGAGCGCUUAAGGCGCGCAGCGAGUUCCACAGGGGCAACAGGACUUGGUAUUUCUACAGAGUCAACGAAUUCUGCCACAAACGGCGUGUUCUAAUGAAAAGGAGCUGGCAAUCCGGCCCCCUGCUCUGGUAGUACGGAAGGAGCCCAGGUUAUUUACUGAGCAGCGGAAGAAGGAAGGAAAUUUCUAAUAGCGCGUGAAGCAAGGUAACC
ensembl:antisense Evx1os even skipped homeotic gene 1, opposite strand